UCCUGCCUGGCUCAGUGGUAGAGCAUGUGACUCUUGAUCUGAGGGUUGUGAGUUCAAGCCCCAUGUUGGGUA
rnacentral:tRNA from 1 species